AUUCUGAAUGACCAUGCCUUGUGAACUGUUUUGCUCCUAUCAGCACUGGAAUGGACAGGCACACAGGUCGCCUGGUAACUAAGGCUUGUGAUGUUCUUCUAGCUCACUUGCAUACCAGAAGAGAUGGACUGGAUUGCAAUAAGGAAACUACUAGACAAAACGAGGAACCAUUCAUCACAGAUGAGAUGAGAACCAAGAAAAGAAAGAAAAAUUAACAACCCUGUAGUUCAUUACAUCUACUUUCUUACAAUGAACAGAAGCAAUAUACAG